GUUUAACUGUACAUUAGCCACAGGGUCUGCUAGAUGACUCUGCUUUUCCGAGGAAAACUUUUUCAAGGUGUUUUUUUUUUUCUAGGAGACCGAAAAGAGGGAAACAUCAAUGACUAUUUCCUUUGUAAAUAUCCACGUCGGACUAGAGAAAUCACAUAGAGUGGCUUUUGGUCCAAAACAGUUUUGUGGUAUUCUACAGUCAGGUCGCAACUAGAAUGAACGUUGUCAAUGCCGUUAUAUGAGGCCGAAUCGGAGUGAGGAAGGCAACUCCCGUGAUCUGGUAGACACAGAGGGGUGCCGCCCGGAUCCCCCUUCAAGGAGACUUCCAGAGACUCUAACCUGCGGCCAUCGGUGCUGGGCGUGGUCCCAGAAAGCAGGCGACAAAGCGAGGGUUUGAAAGUGGAUCACACACCACCAGGCUGGCCGUGAGGCCCCCAUCGCUGGUGGCCGUUGGCCACCCGAGAACUGGCAUGAUGGGCACAUGAAUGGAGAGGCCACCGUGACAGAGAUGGAGGCUGAGAAUAUUUCCAAGGGCACAUAAAGGCAGUUCUUGCCUUGCACCCUGAAACCGUGCAGUGUUAACAAUCAAUGGGGAAGGGGCGCCCCGGGGGGCUCAGGCGGUUAAGCCCCUGACUUCAGCUCAGGUCAUGAUCUCAUGGUUUGUGAGUUUGAGCCCUGCAUGGGGCUCUCUGCUAUCAGCACAGAGCCCACUUCAGAUCCCGUGUCUCCCUC